CAAGUAGGGACGGAGGCCUCAGUCCCUAAGAGCUCUAAGAGCUGACUAAUGAUUUCUUAGGUGGCUUCAGAUGCCAAAAGGGGUGAUUAUACGGGGGGUGCCUGGUGCAGUGCGUACAGUAGGACACACCUGGAUGGUUGUGUUAUCUUCAGUAUGGAGGAGGUGGUGCACGGAAGCUUCCUUUUGCCUACAACUCUGGCCGUCCCCUUGAGUUGGGUGGGAUUUGGGCAGGGACCGUAGCUGGAGGCUCAUAGAUGUCUCUUGGGGGAGGAAGAAGUGAUGCUCAAAUGAUGGCAUCUUAGAGUUACCCACGUGUGGGACUCUCAGGGCUCUAGGAGGUGCACCUAGAGGAGGCUUGAUGUCCCUAGUGCUGUCUGUCCUAUGGCCAGCCCAUCUGACACAGCUGGGGACCGUUUUCCAAGGUCCGGAGGCUGUGGAUGAUCAGAACUUUGGAACCAUGGGAUUCACCACAGAGAAUCUGCGUGUUGGGACAUUUCCUUGGGGGCCCUGAAGGGGGAAGCCAUCAGAAUGUCUCAGCUACUGUUCUGGUUGUUUGGGUAAAGAGCUCCCUGUUGGAGCCUUGUAAGGCGCUCCAGCUUGCGGCCAUGUGGAAAGGCUGGGAUUGAUUAAUUCUGUCUGGUUUGUGAGACACUCUACCCUCUUUGCCUCUCCCCACCCAGGAAACCACAUGAACUGUCAAGGCGGGUCCAAUUACAAUUCAUGGUAAUUGGAGGGAGAGAGGGACUCCUGAGGAGGCAGUGACUUGUGCUUUUGCUCUGUGAAGGAGAGGUUUCUUUGCUGUGAGGAGUCGAGGCAAGUAGCAAUUAAGGGCCUCCUCCUUACACCUUAUUAAAUGACCACCAACUCCAGGUGACCACGGCUUCCCUGUAGGCAUCCUGGUUCCCGAGGGCACAUCCACCCUCUGCCACCCAAGUGGAGAGUUUCACUCCAAGGCUGUAAUCCUUAAAGGGUGGUCCACGGACCACCUAGAGUUCAUGUAAAAAUUGUAGCUUCCUGGGCCUUGCCUAGACCGGCUGAACCAAGUACACUGGGCUCAGAGCCCAGGAACCUGCAUUUCUAGCAAGCUCCCGCCUUAAUUUUUAGGUAACACCAGAGACCUCUGCGAAGGAUUACCUGGGAAUAUUGUUGCUUCAGCCUGAACGGCAGGAGUUCAGCUAAACAAACUCAACUCCUUCAUUCCCAUUCACUCCUCCUCUGGGACGUCCUGCUGAUGCUUCGUCUCCUUUGUUAGGCUUAGACCGCAAAUUCACUAGCUCUCCAAGAUGUGAGCCAAGCAUCUCUUUUGGACCCCAGACCCAGAGGGGGAAUAUGAAUAGAGGAAAGGAAAGAAAGGAAAGCAAAUCUCCUCUUGCUUCUCUGACUGUGAUUGUUUUUGGCUUUGGAGCAGGUGGGCCCGUCGACUGUCUGCAAGGCUGUGUUGAAGCAGUAUUGCAGUGAUAAUGGUGGAAGCCACUUUUCUCAUCCCGGGCAUGCGGAGGGGUGUCUGUAUCAGGCGGCCCAUCCUGCCCUCCAGUCCCUCCGGGCCUGCUGAGGGCCCGCCUCGCCACUGAGCACAAACAUCUGUGUCCUGCAGUGACCUGCCCGCUCUGUUGUUUGGUUUCCUGUGGAGGGAGGGCUUUCCAGUGUUGUGUAUCCUGCCUCGCCUGGCUCCUCUCCCUGUCCCACCUUAGUGACCUCUGGUCCUCUGCACUCAGUUGAGCCAAAUCCUGACUGUGGGCUGUUGUCUGGGUUCUAGCUUUCAUCCAGACAGCGUGACAAGAGGAGUUUGGGUUGGCCCUAAACUGUGUGAACGCCUCCUCAGUUAUGGCCCUCGAUUGUUUCAGCCUGAGGGUCUGCCAGCAGCAGUGUGUUCUGCUGGCACGGGCUCAAACUGCCCCCUUGAGACAGGGGUCCCAGCAGCAGGAAGCUAGAAGGCCUGUAGGACUGAGCUCAACAGGCAAUUCCCCAAUGACUCCACACCACUAGGGGUCCUCUCGGGGGUUCUAGGUCCAGAAACCCUCUGGCAGCCUCUCUGCCUAGUGGGAGUUCUGCAGGGGAGAUGUGGCGCUGUGGAGGUCAUGGCGUUGAAGUGGAUCAGGGGCUUCAGAAAUGGGAGGGCAUUGAGUCUGGUAGGGAAGCCGUCAAGGGAGCCACAACAGGUCUGCUGUUGUCAGAGUGGACUAGGGUUACAAGAAGGAUGGGUAUAGAGGGGGUGAGAUUUUAGAAAAAGGAUCUCCAGAGCGCUGAACCUGGAGGCCCAGAGAAGAUGAACUCUUCCAGUCAGUACAACGUAACUUUAAAAAGGUAAAAAUAAAAUCCGAUCAGGGCAAGUUUCUAGUCGAAUAAAUGCUUGCGCUCUUUUCUGAAGGCCUUGAGGAUUGGUGCAGCCUGGGUUAGCAUCUGGUUCGUUUAUGUAGCAAAAACUAUGGAAAUGUUCUUACCCUUGGGCUGGAUAAUUCUACCCCCAGGAUAGUGUCCUGAGGAAACUGUCCAACUAAAACAAAGUAAUGCUUCAGAAUAUUCUCUGCUCUCCAUAGGAGCAGAAGGAAGGCUUCUGUGUCUCACUAACGUCAGGGGAGGAAUUUUACAAACCGUCCUGACACGUGAUAGUGGUGGAGCAUAUUUUCAGCCUUUAAAUGACAUUUAGGAAGAUUACACAGGAAUGAAAUGUUCAACAGACGGUUGAAAGUAGGAGAACUUUAUGGAGCAUUAUAAUCGGUUGCAACUGUAAAACCCACGUAAACAGGAAGAUUACGUACAAAAGUGAAAAUGGCUGUGUUGAAGUUGUAGGAUUAAAUACUUAAAAAAAAUAGUACUCAAAUUUUAUAGCAAGUCAGAGAAUUGCUAUCUGAGGCAACAUCCUGCUUCAGAUGUUUUUCUGCUAUCACCUGUCCUUUUUCUUGAGGAAUGGCAGCUCAGUGAGAUCUGACUGUCUGUUCUGAGCGCUUUGGUGUGUGCUGUGCACUGCUGAGCCCCGUGGAGCACACAGAGGGGGUAAGACAUGGUCCCCUGAGCCUGAGAGCUCAGGGGGAGGUUUCUUCUCCCUGGGGAGACACGAUGUGCUGGGCAAGCUGAUUAGUGCUGGGUGCUGAGGCUUGGCCCUAGCACGGCCAGGGACCGUGGGGAGGGGAGGGGGCAGGUGGGUGGAUGGUCUGGGCCUUCAGCCGGGAGUUGGAAGGAUCUGUAGGACCAGGGAGCAACCAGCCUGGCAGCUGGGAAGCCUGCAAAACCCAGCAAGAAGAGUCCAGUUCUCCUGAGAUGGGUUCUAUCCAGGUCCUCGCCGCUUUGACUGAGAUCAGAGUUAUUUAAAUAAAUGCCUGUGAUUCACCCCAUUUCUAGAGACUGGGAACUGAAGUCCAGGAAGCGAACUCUUCCAGUAAUCUCCGGAGUCCCCUGGGACAGGGCUGUUGCACAGGCCCGCUCCCGGCGUGUUGGCUGUGCCCCGUCUGCAAGCCCCACGCGUGCCCUCCCCAGGGGCAAAUCCCCUGCUCAGGAUCCACUCCUGGGAGGCUGCCCUUUGGUUCCUUUUGGGUUGGCAGUGGGGGAUCAGUGUUCCUUCCCCAGUGAUCUCUCCUUUUAGAUCUUUCCCUGGCCUGCAGGGGUGCUGGGCACUGCUGGGAGGCCGCCCAUCCCCAUUUUCCAUUUGGAGACCUUGACAUUUUGUUUAAGAGGGGGUGUGAUUGAGAGCGUGUGAGGGUGAGAACCGGAGGUGCUGGCUCCUUAAGGCUUGGCCUUCAAGUGAAUUUUGGCAGAAGGGACACUGAAUGUUUAAUUUUAGGGCCAGGAGGGGGUGGGGGAAAGUCCCUACUGCAUCUGGUUUGUGUUAAGUCCUUCCCUUCAGAAAAGGGCUGUGUUUAUGGUUCAAAUCCGGCAGAGAUGGGGCGAGAGGGGCUCCACUUUCCCGUACUAGGCAGUGGGGCACAGGGAAUGCACAGAGCUUCCUUCGGGUCCUCCGACCCCAUCCCAAGAUAAAUGGUUCCAACUUUGAGAAAACUUCCACAUCCAUUUUACCCCUGAGGUUAAAGCAGGCAUUUGCUUCCAGCAGCUGGGCUUUGCAGGCAGAGCUGCAGAGUUCGCAGAGUUGGCCGGCUGUCAGCCUGGCUUGUCUGGCGUCUGAGGGUCCCGGAUGGGUCAGCAGUGCUGCUGGCUCCCGCAGGCCUCCCAGCCGUGAUUCCGGGAUUGAGGGCUUGCGUCCAGGAGGCCCAGGUUGUCAGAGCUGGAAGGUCCUGCAAAGACCACAUCCAGUCCCUUCUUGACAGAUAAGGAACUGGAGGCCCAGAGGGCUGAAGAAGCUUGUCCAAGCCCUGGCUCAGUUCCGGCACAUCACCCAGCUUUCAGGGAAGUCUAGAGUUUCAGAGCCGAAAGGAGCCUUCGAUAGCAAAGGGUCCAUCCCCUGCAAGUUACAGUUCUUUCUGCCCCAGGCCAUUUCUCUCCCAGAGGGUUAGCCUGUGAACGAUUGCUGGCCGAGGAGUUCCAGAGACUAAUGCAACGCUUCCUAGCUCCUUUGGAGAAAAGGUCUAUUUCUUGCUAACAGAGCAGGCUCUCCUCUCCUGCUCCCUGCUCUACCCACAGUCGACCACUAUCUCAAGUCAGGCCCCCAAAUACGCUCACACCGCAGAGCAGACUGGUUGCUGCCUGCUGUCUGGAAUGGACCUCCACCACGUGCCGCCGACCUGCCCCCUGCAGGGAUCUGUGUAUCGUUCCCCUGGGUGCUCAGUCUGUGUCUCACUGGUGGGGUGUGUAGUUAUCUGUCAGCUUGACCAUGGCUUCCUGAGAGCUGGGCCCUCUCUCGUUCUAGUAGUCACUGGUCUAGUGCCCUAUACUUAGUGGAUGCUCAGUGAGAGAAAGAGAAAGUGGAAAGAAUUUGGAAUUUGGUUAGGGAACUCCUGGUUUGGGGUUUGAGGCCUGUUCUUUGCCAGCUGAGUUACUUAACAUUCCUGAGCCUCAGUUUUUCCAUCUCUAAAAUGGGGGAUCAAAAUCUAGCUCUUAGGGCUUCCCUGAUGGCGCAGUGGUUAAGAAUCCACCUGCCAAUGCGGGGGACAUGGGUUCGAGCCCUGAUCCGGGAAGAUCCCACAUGCCGUGGAGCAACUAAGCCUGUGCUCCACAACUACUGAAGCCUGCGUGCCUAGAGCCUGUGCUCCACAACGAGAAGCCACCGCGAUGAGAAGCCUGUGCACCUCAACGAAGAGUAGCCCCUGCUCUCUGCAACUAGAGAAAGCCGGCGUGCAGCAACGAAGACCCAACACAGCCAAAAAAAAAAAAAAAAAAAAUCUACCUCUUGUUGUGAAGAGUAAAUGUGAUAAUCAAUACAAAGUGCUUGGUAAGUGUCACUAAAUGUCAGCUGUGUCAUUGUUGUGCCCUCUAAGUGGGAGAGACGUUACCAGCCGCCAGGCCUGGGGGAGGACUCUGCAGGAAGGCGAGGUUUUAGGCUAUGGCGCUCUCCCUCUGCUUCUCGGGUGUCUGGUCCCUGGAGAGACUGGGUGAGAGAGGAAGGGGCUGUGUGAUGCUGUCUGGCUGGGUGGUGGCAGUCUCCUCUGCAGGAGGAAACUGCUUCCUCUCCAGGGAGUCCGCAGCUGCUCGGAGCCCUCGUGGGGCCGGCUGCUGCUCGCUGAGCAGGGAUUGUGUGUUGGGGGGAAGAAGGGGUCCGGGGUGCCUUGGGCUUCGUUCCAGAUGUGACAUGUCUUCUGAUCUCAGCACCCUUCCCUGCCAGGCCUUCUUGGAGCCCCGCUCCCUGGCACCAGGAGGUCUGGCUCGGAACUGCCCCUGCCGUGGUUGCUGUAUGACUGUUUCUUAGGGGGGGUCCUACCUACCU